rnacentral:misc_RNA from 1 species
GAUGGAACGCAGCGAAAUGCGAUAAGUAAUGUGAAUUGCAGAAUUCAGUGAAUCAUCGAAUCUUUGAACGCACAUUGCGCCCGCCAGUAUUCUGGCGGGCAUGCCUGUUCGAGCGUCAUUACAACCCUCAGGCCCCCGGGCCUGGCGUUGGGGAUCGGCGGAGCCCCCCGUGGGCACACGCCGUCCCCCAAAUACAGUGGCGGUCCCGCCGCAGCUUCCAUCGCGUAGUAGCUAACACCUCGCGACUGGAGAGCGGCGCGGCCACGCCGUAAAACACCCAACUCUUCUGAAGUUGACCUCGAAUCAGGUAGGAAUACCCGCUGAACUUAAGCAUAUCAAUAAGCGGAGGA